UACGUAUGGAGCAAGCGUUAUCCGGAUUUACUGGGUGUAAAGGGAGCGUAGACGGCGCUGCAAGUCUGAUGUGAAAGGCCGGGGCUCAACCCCGGGACUGCAUUGGAAACUGUGGAGCUUGAGUGCCGGAGAGGUAAGCGGAAUUCCUAGUGUAGCGGUGAAAUGCGUAGAUAUUAGGAGGAACACCAGUGGCGAAGGCGGCUUACUGGACGGUAACUGACGUUGAGGCUCGAAAGCGUGGGGAGCAAACAGG
rnacentral:rRNA from 1 species